rnacentral:rRNA from 1 species
GACGAACGCUGGCGGCGUGCUUAACACAUGCAUGUCGAACGGUAAGGCCCUUCGGGGUACACGAGUGGCGAACGGGUGAGUAACACGUGGGUGAUCUGCCCUGCACUUCGGGAUAAGCCUGGGAAACUGGGUCUAAUACCGGAUAGGACCACUGCCUGCAUGGGUGGUGGUGGAAAGCUUUUGCGGGGUGGGAUGGGCCCGCGGCCUAUCAGCUUGUUGGUGGGGUGAUGGCCUACCAAGGCGACGACGGGUAGCCGGCCUGAGAGGGUGACCGGCCACACUGGGACUGAGAUACGGCCCAGACUCCUACGGGAGGCAGCAGUGGGGAAUAUUGCACAAUGGGCGCAAGCCUGAUGCAGCGACGCCGCGUGAGGGAUGACGGCCUUCGGGUUGUAAACCUCUUUCAGCACCGACGAAGCGCAAGUGACGGUAGGUGCAGAAGAAGGACCGGCCAACUACGUGCCAGCCGCCGCGGUAA